UUCAGAUUGUUGGAAAAUGUUGUCAAUGACCGUUAGAAUUUAAAGUGCUCAGUCUAAAAACUUCAGAAAUGGCGUGGGCGUGAGAAUAAAAAGGCCCCCAAAAUCACGAUCGGUACCGAAAAUAAUUUGUUACACCUAAACAAGGACAAAAAAUUCCUCUCAAAUCAGAACAUGGAGUCUUAUGGAACAAAUUUAAUAGUCAAAUGGGCAAAUUACUGUAAAAGAUUUGACGGAUAUGGUCAACAGCGAAGAAAUCGCUAACGACUUAAUCGAGAAAAUUAACC